rnacentral:rRNA from 1 species
AACGAACGCUGGCGGCAUGCCUAACACAUGCAAGUCGAACGAGACCUUCGGGUCUAGUGGCGCACGGGUGCGUAACGCGUGGGAACCUGCCCUUAGGUUCGGAAUCACUCCCCGAAAGGGGUGCUAAUACCGGAUAAUGUCUUCGGACCAAAGAUUUAUCGCCUUUGGAUGGGCCCGCGUUGGAUUAGCUAGUUGGUAGGGUAAAAGCCUACCAAGGCGACGAUCCAUAGCUGGUCUGAGAGGAUGAUCAGCCACACUGGGACUGAGACACGGCCCAGACUCCUACGGGAGGCAGCAGUGGGGAAUAUUGGACAAUGGGCGAAAGCCUGAUCCAGCAAUGCCGCGUGAGUGAUGAAGGCCUUAGGGUUGUAAAGCUCUUUUACCCGGGAUGAUAAUGACAGGACCGGGAGAAUAAGCUCCGGCUAACUCCGU